UGGUGGCGAUAGCUAGAAGGAUACACCUGUAACCAUGCCGAACACAGUAGUUAAGCUUCUAAACGCCAAAAAUAGUUGGGGGAUCGCCCCUUGCGAAGAUAGGACGUUGCCA
rnacentral:rRNA from 1 species